rnacentral:lncRNA from 1 species
AAUAUGGCGUCAUUUAGUUUAGGCGUUAUGAAGAGGAGUCUUUCUUCCUUACUCCUCUUAAUUUUCUUGCAUGGUUCCACACAUUUUUCAUUAAUCCUCAUGUCAUGUGAUAGCGCAUGGGAUAUGGGGCAUGGAAGAGGAGGAGUCCUUCUUUUGGAAAGAAUUUACAUGCCAAAAAUUAUUGGGAUGCCACAUUUAUUUUGGCGU